GUGGUCCAUUUGAUUGACUAAAUAGUGCUGAAUCUAUACUAUUUUCAUAAGUCCUUUUACCCUUCAAUUCAAGAAAGAAACCAUGUAUCAAUAUAAAUAUUUUGCUUAAAAAAGACAUGGUGUCAUUGUACUUAAGAAUAUGAAUUAUUUUUACUGUUGCAUUAGAAUCUCUCGAGCCACUUGAUAGGGGUGGCAAUUCAUGUUGGCAGCUCGUAAACGGGUCAAUUUGUUUACAACACGAUCCAUAUAAUCUAAACAUGAACAUGACACAAUUAUUAAAGAAAAAUUAUCUAUAGGUCCCU
rnacentral:lncRNA from 1 species